CUAAUAUGGCAGAUUUAUGUAAUGGAUUUAAAACCCAUUUAUAAAGGAUAUAUCCUUUUUUUAGAA
rnacentral:tRNA from 1 species